rnacentral:rRNA from 1 species
GACGAACGCUGGCGGCGCGCUUAACACAUGCAAGUCGAGCGAGAACCUGGCUUCGGCCAGGGGAAAGCGGCGAACGGGUGAGUAACACGUGGGCAACCCACCCUUGGUAUCCGGAUAGCCCGGGGAAACUCGGAUUAAUACGGAAUGGCCCAACAGCUCUUCGGGGCGGUUGGAAAAGGUAGCUUCGGCCUCCGACCAAGGACGGGCCCGCGGUGGAUUAGCUUGUUGGUGAGGUAACGGCCCACCAAGGCGACGAUCCAUAGCUGGUCUGAGAGGACGAUCAGCCACACUGGGACUGAGACACGGCCCAGACUCCUACGGGAGGCAGCAGUGGGGAAUCUUGCGCAAUGGGCGAAAGCCUGACGCAGCGACGCCGCGUGGGGGAANAAGGC